UUUGCCUUUUAAUUGAAGGCUAGUAUGAACGGACAAACGAAAGCCAAGCUGUCUCACACACAGCCCUAAAACUUACCCUCCAAGUGAAGAGACUUGGAUAAUAUAAAAAGACGAAAAGACCCUGUGGAGCUUUACUUAAAAGAGAGCUUAAUAAAUAAAACUCUCAUAGAGUUUAGUUGGGGCGACUGAGGAGCACACCAAAACCUCCUUCUCCUAAAAGAAAGUAAAUCUCUAAAAGAUCCACCUAAGUGAAUAAAGAACCAGCUACCCCAGGGAUAACAGGCUAAUCCUCCUCGAGAGCCCAAAUUGACAGGAGGGGUUGGCACCUCGAUGUUGGCUUAAGGUCCCUACAAAGUGCAGCAGCUUUGAUAGUGGGUUUGUUCACCCUUUAAAACCU
rnacentral:rRNA from 1 species